GACGAACGCUGGCGGCGUGCCUAAUACAUGCAAGUCGAACGCUUCUUUCCUCCCGAGUGCUUGCACUCAAUUGGAAAGAGGAGUGGCGGACGGGUGAGUAACACGUGGGUAACCUACCCAUCAGAGGGGGAUAACACUUGGAAACAGGUGCUAAUACCGCAUAACAGUUUAUGCCGCAUGGCAUAAGAGUGAAAGGCGCUUUCGGGUGUCGCUGAUGGAUGGACCCGCGGUGCAUUAGCUAGUUGGUGAGGUAACGGCUCACCAAGGCCACGAUGCAUAGCCGACCUGAGAGGGUGAUCGGCCACACUGGGACUGAGACACGGCCCAGACUCCUACGGGAGGCAGCAGUAGGGAAUCUUCGGCAAUGGACGAAAGUCUGACCGAGCAACGCCGCGUGAGUGAAGAAGGUUUUCGGAUCGUAAAACUCUGUUGUUAGAGAAGAACAAGGACGUUAUUAACUGAACGUCCCCUGACGGUAUCUAACCAGAAAGCCACGGCUAACUACGUG
rnacentral:rRNA from 1 species